GUUCACCAGAGACGUAACAAGUUUGGAGACUACCCCCACCUACUCCAGGGUCAGCAUCCGGAUCACGGUCACUUUCAGCUGUACCUCCGUCUAUCCAAGACCCAGUUUGAGGACCUGCUGCCCCGUGUUGGGGGACGAAUCAGCCUCCGGGACUCGAACUACAGGCGCUGCAUCCCCGCUGCAGAACACCUGCCCAUCUGUCUUUGAGAGCGAUUAGGAGAUCCGCCAGGGGGGAGGAGAAGGUAGAUGAUGGAUAGUCUGGGAGCGUGUCGGAUGCAGCAGCCUAAGCAGAGAGACCC